rnacentral:rRNA from 1 species
UACGAAGGGGGCUAGCGUUGCUCGGAAUCACUGGGCGUAAAGCGCACGUAGGCGGCUUGUUAAGUCAGGGGUGAAAUCCUGGAGCUCAACUCCAGAACUGCCUUUGAUACUGGCGAUCUUGAGUCCGGGAGAGGUGAGUGGAACUGCGAGUGUAGAGGUGAAAUUCGUAGAUAUUCGCAAGAACACCAGUGGCGAAGGCGGCUCACUGGCCCGGUACUGACGCUGAGGUGCGAAAGCGGGGGGAGCAAACAGG